AGUGAACGCUGGCGGUAGGCCUAACACAUGCAAGUCGAACGGCAGCACAGUAAGAGCUUGCUCUUACGGGUGGCGAGUGGCGGACGGGUGAGGAAUACAUCGGAAUCUACUUUUUCGUGGGGGAUAACGUAGGGAAACUUACGCUAAUACCGCAUACGACCUACGGGUGAAAGCAGGGGAUCUUCGGACCUUGCGCGAUUGAAUGAGCCGAUGUCGGAUUAGCUAGUUGGCGGGGUAAAGGCCCACCAAGGCGACGAUCCGUAGCUGGUCUGAGAGGAUGAUCAGCCACACUGGAACUGAGACACGGUCCAGACUCCUACGGGAGGCAGCAGUGGGGAAUAUUGGACGAUGGGGGCAAGCCUGAUCCAGCCAUACCGCGUGAGUGAAGAAGGCCUUCGGGUUGUAAAGCCCUUUUGUUGGGAAAGAAGAGCAGCAGGUUAAUACCCCGCUGUUCCGACGGUACCCAAAGAAUAAGCACCGGCUAACCUCGUG
rnacentral:rRNA from 1 species